rnacentral:rRNA from 1 species
CAGUCGCCGCGGUAAUACAGAGGGUGCGAGCGUUAAUCGGAUUUACUGGGCGUAAAGCGUGCGUAGGCGGCUUCUUAAGUCGGAUGUGAAAGCCCCGGGCUCAACCUGGGAAUGGCAAUGGAUACUGGCGAGCUAGAGUGUGUCAGAGGAUGGUGGAAUUCCCGGUGUAGCGGUGAAAUGCGUAGAGAUCGGGAGGAACGCCAGUGGCGAAAGCACUCUGCUGGGCCGACACUGACACUGAGUGACGAAAGCUAGGGGAGCAAAUGGGAUUAGAUACCCCAGUAGUCCCUGUCUCUUAUAC